rnacentral:lncRNA from 1 species
ACAUAUGUAUACAUGUGCCAUGUUGGUGUGCUGCACCCAUUAACUUAUCAUUUACAUUAGGUAUAUAUCCUAAUGCUAUCCCUCCCCCCUCCUGCAACCCCACAACAGGCCCCGGUGUGUGAUGUUCCCCACCCUGUGUCCAAGUGUUAUCAUUGUUCAAUUCCCACCUAUGAGUGAGAACAUGCGGUGUUUGGUGUUCUGUCCUUGUGAUAGUUUGCUUGGAAUGAUGGUUUCCAGCUUCAUCCAUGUCCCUACAAAGGACAUGAACUCAUCCUUUUUUAUGGCUGCAUAGUAUUCCAUGUUGUAUAUGUGCCACAUUUUCUUAAUCCAGUCUAUCAUUGAUGGACAUUUGGGUUGGUUCCAAGUCUUUGAUAUUGUGAAUAGUGGCAUUGUGGCCUUCUUUGCAAUCUGCCACACCUCCACAAAUGGAAUUAGUUCCCUGUCCUAGGGUAGAUACUACAGUGGCUUACCCCAGUAUCCACUCUGCCCUGCUUCCUUAAUAAUAGAGCCUUGACAUUUAUCUGGGCUCAGAAUCAUGACUAUAUUUCCCAGCCUCCUCUCAAACUAGAAGAGACUAUAUAAUAGGUUCUGUCCAAUGAAAUGUUAAAAAAACUUAGCAUAAGUUCUUUGUUACCUUCUUUCUUCUUGGUGUGUGGAUUCUGAAGGUAGUGGCUGGAGCAUAAGCAACCAUAUUAAACCAUGAGGCAAUGCACUAAAGAUGGUGGAGAAGCAAGACAGAAAUAACCUAGGUCCCUAGCAACUUAAUUUCUUUUAUAUGAGAGUAAAACAAACUUGUGUCUUCUUUAAGCCAUUGUUAUUUUGGCACUUCUGUUACUCACAGAUGAACUCAAUUGUAGUUAAUAGACUUUCUUCUGUACGCUGAUUGCUUUUCACCCUUUUAUUUAGUACAAUUGUCCCCAUCCUUCAAAGCUUUCCCUGAUGACUCUCCCCUCCCUUUUUCUGGAGUCUCAGGACAUUUCAUGUUCGUAUAAGUCCUUGAUAUCCACCCACCAAUCUGGCCUUGGUUUCUAAGUUCUGUUUGUUUUGUUCAUCUUGGUAUCUUAUAUGCAUUAUUGCUUUUAUUUUAUUAUAGAGCUGAGAUCUGUAGUCUCCUUUAUUGUAGAGCUGGGAGCUAUAGUCUCCUUUGUAUUUCUCUCAAAUUCAUUCAUUUAUUCACUCAUUCAGAAAUGUUUAUGGAGCACUUUCCAUGUGUCAGGUACUAUGGUAGACUCAGGGGACCUUAAAGUUAACAAAACAGAAUUGCAAUCUUUGCCCUCAUAGUACAGAGGAUUUAGUGGAAGUAAACAGGCUUUGAACAAAUAAGCCACUUACCAAGUGGGAUAAGUGCCAAGAUGAAAAGUGCCAGGGACGUCUAGUUUAGAUCAGGUGCUCAGGGAAAGCCUCUUUAAAGAGACAGCACUUAAGGUGAAAUUGAAAGAGGAGGAGAAAGCAGGCAUGUUGUAGAGGAAAGAGUGCUCCUACCGGAAAGAUAGCUUGUGCAAAGACCCUGGGGCAAAAAAGGAGCUAUUUAAGGAGUAUUUAAGGAGCUAUUUAAGGAGAUGAAAGAAGGUCCAUGUGAGUGGAUAGCAAGUGGGGGAAUGGAAGGAGAAGAAUCAGAAAAGAAGCCAGGAACCAAAUCACACAGGACUAUAUGAGCCGCAGCAAAGAAUUUGGAUUUUAUUCUGCAUGCCAUGGGAAGGUUUUAUGCACCAAAUUGGUUAACUGUUAGGAUUAAGUUCUCCUGCCUAUAACCAACAAUAUAAGUAACAGUGGCUUAAGCAAGCCUGGAGGAAGGCAGUCCAGGACUCAUGUGGAGGCUCCAGGAUGCCAUUGGGGUCCAGGCUCUGUUAGCUUUCUGUUCCACAUUAUCGCAUGGCCCUAUUCUCAAGUCUUUUCAUGACCCGAGAUGGCUGUUGGAGCUCCAAUCACACUCAUAUACCAGGCAUAAAAAGGAGGAGGCAGAAAGGCCUCCCAGCCCACUCAAUCCCCUGCAGAGUUUUCCAGGAGCCCUGCUGAGGGGGUUCCAUGGACAUCUCAUUGGCUACCCUUGGCUGCAGGGAAGCUUGGGAAAUGUAGUCCUUUAGCUGCACAUUUUACUACCUCCUAUAAAUUGGGAUUCUGUUAGCAGGAAGGAAGGGUAAACUGGGUGUUGCUAGAAUUGGGUUCACAGGAGGCAUUUAUUAAAAGCCCAUUUGUUCCAAAAGCCACACACAACAUGGAUGAGUCUCACAGAAAAGGUUGAGCAAAAGAAGCCUUAUGGGAAAGAUUACUGUGAUUCCAGUCAAAACUAAUCUAUGGUGCCAACAGUCAAAGGAGUUACUUGUGGUGGAGUGGUGUCAGUGACUAGAAGGAGGA